AAAAUGUAUUUUUGUUGGAAAAAUGUGGAACAAACGAUCCCAUAUUCAUUAUUGGUUCCAAUAUUAUACAACUCACAAGAAACCCUUUUUUUUUUUGCCCUUUAGUUUCCCUGAUAACAAGUAAAGUAGUGUUUUGUCGUGACAAAAAAAAAUUAUGCAUUAUUUCUUGAUAAUAAACUCGUUUAGGAAUCCAAUUAACCCACAACUUUACUUUAGUCUUUAUGGCAGAUGCUGCUGUUUGCCACCAUAGACAGUAAUUUAAUAAUUACAGGACCUGGAGCUAUUGAAUUGCGAAUUUUGCUGGAUUAACACGACCCCUACCAACACUCAUACCAGAUAAGUCUCGCACCUGUAUAAAGAACUAUCGAAAACCUCAUCCACCCUCGAUGCUGUGAGUAUUCAUACCCUGCACGUGAAGAAGCACUUCUCAUUGAAGUGCUCAUUAGCAGCCACUUUUGAAUUAGAAGGGGUAUGGUUUUUUUUUUUUUUUUUUUGCAUGUCUCGUUUAUAAAAAAAUAAUGGAAAUUAUUGUAAGGCACGCACAGCACAAGUGGAAAUUAUUGUAAGGCACGCACUCCGAUUUUUUCUAUAAAUAAUUAAAUGUGUCCCAUAUUGUUUCUCAAAUCCCCGCCUAAUUGAUCCUUGAAUGCCUGUAGCCACGUGAAAACAUGUGCUC
rnacentral:lncRNA from 1 species